rnacentral:rRNA from 1 species
UACGUAGGAUGCAAGCGAUGUCCGGAUUUAUUGGGUUUAAAGGGUGGGAAGGCGGUCAUUUAAGUUAGUGUUAAAAUCGCUUGGCUUAACCGAAUACCCGCCAUUGAUACUGAUAGACUUGAGUGCGACAGAGGGUGUUGGAAUGUGUGGUGUAGCGGUGAAAUGCUUAGAUAUCACGCAGAACACCAAUUGCGAAGGCAGAUGCCUAUGUCGUAACUGACGCUGAGGCACGAAAGCGUGGGGAGCAAACAGG